GUUUUAGUAUUUCUUACUAAAUUAGUCAUUGCAUUAAUUAUUUAUUAUUUUUGAACAGGUAUUGCUUAUUUUCUGUUGAGUGCCUGAAGUUCUGAAUGGCACGUAAUUUGUCCAAUCAGAUACUCCGCUUUAAUUACAGUCCUGCCAAUCAGCAAGGUAAGGGGGCGGGGCCUUUCUCUAGUCAGAGAAAUGUCCCAGCCAGGUGCGUUGGAUCGAGCUGUACAACAUGGACCCAGACAGGUGAGAGAGAUGCAUCAUGGAUGGGAAUGGACCAAAGAGUGACUCCAGAAGGACAAAGAAACAGCCAUCAUGUCACCAAGAAACCAGCAUGGACUCCUCCACCCGGAGCUGAGCCUGCCGUGGAGCGUGUGUGAAAGGGGACCCUGCCGGCCUCCAUGGCUCACUCGUCAGACCCGUCCCGCAGGGAUAAGACCCCCGGGACCCAGGGGUCACACACGGCUACUCGCAACCUCUUACGGAAGAAGGAGCAGCGCCGGCGAGGAAUCCGAUCCUCGUCACCCAUGGGCCGGGUCAUCCUCAUCAACUCUCCCGUGGAUGGAGGAGAUGACAGUGAGGACCUCCACACCAUCACAGUGGAUAAAAGUGUCGAUGGCAAACUGGGCUUCAGUGUCCGAGGAGGUUCUGAACACGGCCUCAGCAUCUUUGUCAGCAAGGUGGAGGACAACAGCACAGCAGAGGAAGCCGGUUUACUUGUAGGAGACAAACUAGUGGAGGUGAACGGCGUCAGUCUGGAGAGCAUCACUAUGAGCAGUGCCGUGAAAGUCCUAACAGGAAACAACCGGCUCAGGAUGGUGGUGAGACGGGUUGGAAAAGUCCCCGGCAUACGCUACUCCAAGGAGAAGACCACAUGGGUGGAUCUGAUCCACAGACGUAUGGUGGUGGAGGAGAGCGGACAUACACCUUCAGAGGCAAGCUCAGGAAGUGCCCUGCAGAGGAUUGUCCAUCUUUACACCACCUCAGAUGACUACUGCCUCGGCUUUAACAUCCGUGGGGGAAAGGAGUUUGGUCUGGGAAUCUAUGUCUCAAAACUGGAUCCUGGAGGUCUGGCAGAGCAGAAUGGGAUAAAGAUGGGGGAUCAGAUCAUGGCAGCCAAUGGAGUGAGCUUUGAGGACAUCAGCCAUAGCAGUGCAGUGGAGGUGCUGAAGAGUCACACACACAUCAUGCUGACCAUCAAGGAAGCAGGACGAUACCCGGCUUAUAAAGAGAUGGUGGCAGAAUACAGGUGGCUUAAUAAGCUGGCCAAUGGCACCCAGAAAUCCUCAUCCCAAGGUUCAGGCUCCACCUCCUCGGUGUCCUCUCUGUCAUCUGGGACUCCGGUCAGCUCUCUGAGCGGCCUUUCACAGGUCAUGUUCCCUCCCACUGUGCCAUUUGGUUCAGACAUGGUGGAUGUUUGCAUCUCCACAGAAGACUUAAGGUCCGAGUCAGAGCGAACUGAGAUGGCCAUCCAGACCGACCUGCCCUCUCAGCGGACCGGUUUGGACACGACCCGCAGCCUGGGACCGACCACCCUUCUCAAAGACACAGCCAUCAGAGGAGAGGAGGAGCAGCAGACCAGAGGGAGGAAAGAGUCCACAAAGACUGCCGUGUUGAUGGCGCUCAGCAGGCCGAGCCGGCCAAUCAGCAGGUCCCAGAGUCAGGUCACCAUGGCAGAGAUCAAUCAGAAGAAAGACAAGAAGCAGAAAGGGAAGGACCCAGAGGAGAAGAGCACCCUGCAGCGCUCUAAGACUUUAGUCAACCUGCUUUUUAAAGGCGGACGUAAGAGGGACGCUUCAAGAGCCAGGUCCAAAUCUCCAUCCAAAGACAAGACAAGCAAAGAGGGACGACAGGCUGGUGCGAUGCCAAACUCGGAGAUGCUCGGAGCGGUGAAUGACAUGGCCCGCAGGCUGCUGACAGAGGAGGAGGUGGACGCUGUGAUGAAGACGUGCAGAAGGUACAUAGCAGAGCGGUCUGUAGAGAACUUGAUACGCCACCUGCUGGCCGUGCUGGACAGACCAGAGAAGCUGCUGCUGCUGAGAGAGGUCAGGAUGCUGCUUCCUCCUGCUGAUCUGAGCGCAUUCAAUACCUUAGUGACACCGCUUGAAAUCGAGGCCUACGACUUACUCAAAUACCGCUCGAUUAAAACUCCUCCUCUUCGCUCUCCUAUUUCUGGUCGAGCACCAAAACGACGCCUCAUUACUCCCAUCCCAGAUUUCCGAGGAGGUUUCGAGCUCCACAGUGCUGAGGAGGUGGAGAAAGAGAGCCACCUUAUGGAUCAGCUGGAGAAGCUCACUGUGUCAGGACUACGCAAGUGCAGCGACAGACCCAGCACCCCCAGAUUCACCCAGCUGCUGGACAUUCCCGUGGACGGGUACGACACAGAGUCCAGAGACCUCAGACCCCCCUCUGCCAGCCCCACAUUGCCUAACUGGCUGCUUACCCGCAGUGAGGACUCCCGCCCUCCUCUCCGUACUGACAUCGGCACCAUCCGCUCCGUCCACUUCGACGAGGUUUCGCUGCACUCGACUUUGGAGAGACGAAACGGACACUCCAGAGGCAGAAAGAAGAGUACGGACAGCAGCAAAGAGCCUUUGUUCACACUGCAGAGCGCUGCUCACAGGAGUCGACCUCUGCUGUCUCAGGUGUUCAGUCCAGAUCAGCAGAUGGGGAGCGUACAGGUGAACGGACAUCAGGAUCAACCGGAGAACGGACUCAAUGGAUCAGAGCCUGAACAGGAGUACAGACUCAAGACGGUCACCAUCUCCAAAACCAAACAGUCUCUGGGGAUCAGUAUAUCAGGAGGAAUGGAGUCAAAGGUUCAGCCGAUGGUGAAGAUCGAGAAGAUCUUUCCAGGAGGAGCUGCCUCCACCUGUGAAGUACUCAAGGCUGGAUUCGAGUUGGUGUCGGUGGAUGGCAUCACCCUUCAAGGAGUCACCCAUCAACACGCUGUGGACAUCAUCAGAAAAGCCUUCAGCAACAAGGCCAAAGACCCCAUGGUGUUGGUGGUCAAAGUCCCCAAAAGCAUUUCAAAGGAGACAUGAGACACUCAUGAAGUCAGAAACAUCACAGACUCUGGGACUGACACAGAGGAGCAGAGACUCUUAACUUCAGCACAUAGACGGUGAUGUGCUCUGAGGUAUUUACAUUUGCCAUUCAUGUUUAAGGGAAAGAUGGACACUGUUGACUCCGUAUGUAGGAAUGAAACAACUUCAUCUCUUUCCUCUAAGGCAGCAGCUCAGGACUUGAGAAGAACUGAGCAACACAACAAAAAACAACAAGAGGAGCACUGUCACAUAUGUGUCUAUAUUUACAGAGAAUGACCUUUGAACCAUGAAACACUGGUGCUCCUGAUGCCUUAAUACUUCUCUUAAAGAAACAUGACAGCCAGUUAAAAACUCUACUCUUACCACAUUCGGGUCGUAUUUACAUCCAUUUCACACGAUCACAGCAUAAAAUCUGUCAUGGCUUAACAGUGCAUGUCUGUCUUUUUGAUUUUUAAAACAGCAGGAUAACAGCGGGUAGUCGGAAUGCCUUUAAAAGGCCUGGAGACUGAAUAAAGAAAAUGUUAAACUUCAUGCAGCUUGGAAUCUAAAUCUUGGACAGAAGAGGGCAGACAUGAGCUGUGCAGACACAUUUCUGCCCUCAGCAAAUAGGCUCAAGACCAUAGGUGAUGGCUGGAUCAAAGAUCGACUGGUAAAUGGAAGCUUUGCCUUUUGUCUACAGAGUUGAAGAAGUAAAAUCCAUCUACAGUAACGGUUCUGAAGCAGUUGAAUCAAUUAAAAAAAA